AGUAGUCUAGAGUCCAAGUUAUAUGAGCCCAAAUGUUUACUUGACCCACUUACCAUUUGUAGCUUAAUCCACUUUCCCCUUUUGGUAACCCUACCAUGUAUAGUAGGAAUAUACUAUACACGUUCAUGAAAUUGCAGCAGCCAAAAUAAUCCCUGCCUCUCGCCUUUCUUCGCUGGCUCUGUCUCCUCUCUUUGUUAAAACCGACAAGCAGCCACCAUGAACCCCAACCAAGCACCACUAACCUUCCAUCCCAUCCUCCGGUCGGAGUGUUAAGAAGCUCGCCGUGGCGUUCGGUCUUAGGCAGUAGCAAUGGUCUCUCCGGCGACGCCAUUUAGAUUCUGUAAGCUCACCCGACUUCUUCGGUUCAACCUUCGGCAGGCAACGAUUGCGGCUCGCUUCCUUCUCUGCUUCUCGGCCGUUCACCAACAACAACAACGGUGGUUUUCCGACGGUAGUAUUGGCAAGCGUGGGUUGAGCUCCAUCACCGGCCUCCGACUUCACCAACGCAAAGCAAUAGCAGUAGCUAUAGAUCUCUGUGCACCAUUUCCCCAUUUUUCCUCCCUCGUCGACGGUCACGACAGAACUAGGCGGUGACGGUUCCGGAAGGCAGCGACAACGAGCGGGCGUGGAGUAGACCUCCGUCCUCUCCCCGGCGGACCUUCCAGACUGGUUCGAGAAGCGGCACCGGUGUUUUCCUCCCCGGUCUUCGCCAUCUCCUUCGCGACGAAGCAGCGGAAUGUCAAGGCGGCAGUACGAACUUGCGGAGGAAGAUCGCGGUGGCCUCUCUUCCGUUCGCAGCAGGCAUGGCGCCCUCUGUUCUCCGCGGCGGCAGUGGGGCGAGGCGAUGGUAACCCACAAACAUUACCUUUUCAAUGGAAGCUGACGCCUCCCCUGUUUCUUGGCGAUGCAAGGCGGCGGGUAGAAGCGACGGUUUUUCCUUCGGCGAGUUGGAGCAACAGUGACAGCGGCGGAGCUCGGCAACGGAGGUCCUUCCUCCGUUCACAGCAAGAGUAGCAGAACGGUGCGGAGCACUGUGGCGGCAGAGUCUUGUCCGUCUUGGGAGGCCGGCAGAGCAGCAAAGAUCAAUAGCCAGUGGAUGCAAAACUGAUCACAACGGGGCGCUGCGGUCUAGUGGUGUGGUGCGUGGCUUGUGAGCUGGUUGGCGUGAGUUCAAACCUAGGAGUAAGCAGAAUGUUUUAAGGUAGUGUUUUGGUUUAUUAUUAAGUCUAAAGUUUUUGUAUUAGUUAUAAUAAUAUAGUUUAAGAUUAGAUUAAGUAUAAUUCUUAUGGUCAUAUUAUAUUAGUCUUGAGCAUGGAUUAUAGGAUUAUAGGUUAUAAGGGACCGAUUAGGAAUAUCAAUGUCGUUGUUAUUAAUAGUCUUAGUAACGGUAUUAGAUUAUAUUAAUUCUUCAGGUUCGUGAUUAUGAACCGAGCUUUGAGUUUGACGUUGCUUUGGAUUAAAAUGCUUUGGGUUAAUUACGCUUCAAAGGGUUGCCUUAAAGCCUUUGCGUGAGCGCGAUAGAGAUAUACCCGUAUGAGGAGGCUUAGAUAGUGGCUAUGUUUUUAGACUUAUGCUUUGGCCUGUGUGCCGCUUUGAGAAUUCUAUGUACUUUGGUUUAGUUGUUGGAUGUUUUGAGAUAUAUUUAAGGAUUAUCGUUUAUACAGUUCAGCUUUUAUGG